rnacentral:rRNA from 1 species
GAUGAACGCUGGCGGCGUGCCUAAUACAUGCAAGUCGAGCGAACAGACGAGGAGCUUGCUCCUCUGACGUUAGCGGCGGACGGGUGAGUAACACGUGGAUAACCUACCUAUAAGACUGGGAUAACUUCGGGAAACCGGAGCUAAUACCGGAUAAUAUAUUGAACCGCAUGGUUCAAUAGUGAAAGACGGUUUUGCUGUCACUUAUAGAUGGAUCCGCGCCGCAUUAGCUAGUUGGUAAGGUAACGGCUUACCAAGGCAACGAUGCGUAGCCGACCUGAGAGGGUGAUCGGCCACACUGGAACUGAGACACGGUCCAGACUCCUACGGGAGGCAGCAGUAGGGAAUCUUCCGCAAUGGGCGAAAGCCUGACCGAGCCACGCCGCGUGAGUGAUGAAGGGCUUCGGGUCGUAAAACUCUUUUAUUGGGGAAGAAAAAAAGGGGAAGUAACUAUGCACGUCUUGACGGUACCUAAUCAGAAAGCCACGGCUAACUACGUG